rnacentral:tRNA from 1 species
GGCCUCGUCGCUCUGUUGGCUUAAGCGUUGGCUGUACUAAAGCCUUCUCCUUGCUGGCGCGGGUUCGAAUCCCACCGAGGCCG